UUUGACGUUUUCAAUGUUUACGAUUACACAAGUCAUUCAACAAUCUGUGAUAAGAAACGAAAAUCAAAUUUUGUCCGAAAAAAUAUUGCCAUUUAGUGACUGUGAUUGUAGCGAAUAAAUCUUUAACAAAUUGGCGUCAAUUUUUCCAAUUAGCCCAAAAGCUAAAGACGACACUGUUUCUAGCUAUGAAGAUGACUCAGUCGAGUCGAAUGCAAGGCUGUAAAUCAAGAUAAGUCCAGAAUUGUUUUUGGUUUUUGAUCGAGGGUAGUAAGCCGUUCGUCUUCGUCAACCGAAGCAGUCAAUCAAACGAGGUUUCAACAACCUUCCACCAGAUGUAGUGACUAGUCAACCAAAUUCACUAUGCACAUCCGACGCACAACAUUCCCAUAUCUCAACGACUACGGAGACUUCAAGUGAAAUACCGCUGACGAAAACUGGAAAUAUAAGUAGAACCUAGCAUUGACUCAAGCUGUUGGCGACGUGACACGCAAAGUCAAGAAUUCACUGACGGACUUGAUUUAUCAUUGACAACAGACUGGGCUUCCGAACUGAGACCGUCUAUGCGUAAAUUACGUCAAGCUAUGGAUGGUCUGUUGAACACUGCACGUCUCAUGCAUUCCGUUCAAAGGGUUCAGCAGGACAUGAAAAAAACAUCGGUGACGCUGACCACCAAUGAAUCGGCGGUAUGUUUGCUUUUCGCAAGCCUUAACAUCUCUUGUGGCUAUGCUAAUGGCUAAACUGUGGGGAAAUCAAAUAACAGUGAGAAUUAUGUACACAUCCUUGGUAACUUGGGACCGCUGGUGCACUUUGAAGACUGCUAUCUCUAUAUGGAUUGUAAACAGACAUGUGGGGUGACAUGUGCGUGGCAAUUGAAGAUUUGUCUGCCGUUCAAUCCCAAAUUCUUUCAGAAUACACCGACAUGAGCAUGUCAGUUGUAACACAGCGUCAGAGCAUCGCUUUUUCCGGAACAGUUGGUGGUCUGAAAACACUUCUUGAACGUAUUGGCGGUCCCGGUACCGUAGAGAUUCUCGACGUAGACACUAAAUUCAAGGUGUUCAACUGCAUUGAACUGACAGUCGAUGGUAAAAUACUGAUCAUGGAAUGGCAAGCAACACCGUUGAGUGACAUGUAUGCCGAUACGGUGAUAGCGAGCCUAAUGCAAACCGAAUUGGUGGGUAACACCAUCAAAUCAACGGGAACAGUUAAAGGGACGACCGAUCACUUAAAAGAAUGUUUGAUUGAAGUGUUGCAGGACAUUUUCGGCGAGAAUUCCGUUCCGAAGAUGUUUUAGGGUGACACCCUGACGGUGUAGGUGAAUGAAAAAGAAGCGCAAAUCAAUUUGUCUAGCCUGCAGGUCCGGAUGAUGACAACCUGAAACAAAUGGUAUCAGCAGCUGUGAAUAAAUUGCACCAGACAUUAGUUCAAACAUAAAGACACAUCAAAUUGUCUCCCUUCUUUUAAUAGAAAAUAAAUACAGAAUCGAAAUCGACAACGAAAA